AGAUUGAACGCUGGCGGCAGGCCUAACACAUGCAAGUCGAGCGGUAGAGAGGUGCUUGCACCUCUUGAGAGCGGCGGACGGGUGAGUAAUGCCGUAGGAAGUCUGCCUAGUGGUGGGGGAUAACGUUCGGAAACGGACGCUAAUACCGGCAUACGUCCUACGGGAGAAAGCGGGGGUACCUUCGGGCCUCGCGCCAUUAGAUGAGCCUAGGUCGGAUUAGCUAGUUGGUGAGGUAAUGGCUCACCAAGGCGACGAUCCGUAACUGGUCUGAGAGGAUGAUCAGUCACACUGGAACUGAGACGCGUCCAGACUCCGUACGGGAGCAGCAGUGGGAAUAUUGGACAAUGGGCGAAAGCCUGAUCCAGCCAUCGCGCGUGUGUAGAAGUAAGGUCUUACGGAUUAGUAAAGC
rnacentral:rRNA from 1 species